AUACGUAGGGGGCGAGCGUUGUCCGGAAUGAUUGGGCGUAAAGGGCGCGUAGGCGGCCCGGUAAGUCUGGAGUGAAAGUCCUGUUUUUAAGAUGGGAAUUGCUUUGGAUACUGUCGGGCUUGAGUGCAGGAGAGGUAAGUGGAAUUCCCAGUGUAGCCGUGAAAUGCGUAGAGAUUGGGAGGAACACCAGUGGCGAAGGCGAGUUACUGGACUGUAACUGACGCUGAGGGGCGAAAGUGGGGGGAGCAAACAGGAUUAGAUACCCCGGUAGUCCUGGCCGUAAACGAUGGGUACUAGGUGUGGGAGGUAUCGACUCCUUCCGUGCCGGAGUUAACGCAAUAAGUACCCCGCCUGGGGAGUACGGCCGCAAGGCUUAAACUCAAAGGAAUUGACGGGG
rnacentral:rRNA from 1 species